GCGGGCGUGGCGGAACGGUAGACGCUCCCUGCCUUGGAAGUGGGGGACCUUGGCCGGUCAUGUGAGUUCGAGUCUCGUCGCCCGCA
rnacentral:tRNA from 1 species